rnacentral:rRNA from 1 species
GACGGAGGAGGCAAGCAUUGUCCGGAAUUAUUGGGCGUAAAGAACACGUAGGCGGUUUAUCAAGUCAUAUGUGAAAACCUUGGGCUUAACUUAAGGAUUGCAUAUGAUACUGGUAAACUAGAGUAUAGUAGAGGAAAGCGGAAUUCCUGGUGUAGCGGUGAAAUGCGCAGAUAUCAGGAAGAACACCAGUGGCGAAAGCGGCUUUCUGGACUGUUACUGACGCUGAGGUGUGAAAGCUAGGGGAGCGAACAGGAUUAGAUACCCGGGUAGU